UGAGAUUAGUGGAGAGAGUUUUAUCUCAUCGAGCUUGAUUUGGGUGAGAUUCAACUCCUCCAACUGCUCUCA
ncrna:Capitella teleta microRNA cte-mir-1175 precursor